rnacentral:tRNA from 1 species
CGGGAUGGAGCAGCCCGGUAGCUCGUCAGGCUCAUAACCUGAAGGUCGUAGGUUCAAAUNAGAAACCGACAUACCGGCCA